GUAAGGAAUAUUGGACAAUGGACGCAAGUCUGAUCCAGCCAUGCCGCGUGAAGGAUUAAGGUCCUCUGGAUUGUAAACUUCUUUUAUAAGGGACGAAAAAAGGCUUUUCUAAGUCGUCUGACGGUACCUUAUGAAUAAGCACCGGCUAACUCCGUGCCAGAAGCCGCGGUAAUACGGAGGGUGCAAGCGUUAUCCGGAUUCACUGGGUUUAAAGGGUGCGUAGGCGGGCAGGUAAGUCAGUGGUGAAAUCCUAGAGCUUAACUCUAUAACUGCCAUUGAUACUAUCUGUCUUGAAUAUUGUGGAGGUAAGCGGAAUAUGUCAUGUAGCGGUGAAAUGCUUAGAUAUGACAUAGAACACCUAUUGCGAAGGCAGCUUACUACGCAUAUAUUGACGCUGAGGCACGAAAGCGUGGGGAUCAAACAGGAUUAGAUACCCGGGUAGUCC
rnacentral:rRNA from 1 species